rnacentral:rRNA from 1 species
GAUGAACGCUGGCGGCGUGCUUAACACAUGCAAGUCGAACGGUGAAGCAGGAGCUUGCUCUUGUGGAUCAGUGGCGAACGGGUGAGUAACACGUGAGCAACCUGCCCCUGACUCUGGGAUAAGCGCUGGAAACGGCGUCUAAUACUGGAUAUGUGAUGUGACCGCAUGGUCUGCAUCUGGAAAGAAUUUCGGUUGGGGAUGGGCUCGCGGCCUAUCAGCUUGUUGGUGAGGUAAUGGCUCACCAAGGCGUCGACGGUUAGCCGGCCUGAGAGGGUGACCGGCCACACUGGGACUGAGACACGGCCCAGACUCCUACGGGAGGCAGCAGUGGGGAAUAUUGCACAAUGGGCGGAAGCCUGAUGCGGCAACGCCGCGUGAGGGAUGACGGCCUUCGGGUUGUAAACCUCUUUUAGUAGGGAAGAAGCGAAAGUGACGGUACCUGCAGAAAAAGCACCGGCUAACUACGUGCCAGCCGCCGCGGUAA